rnacentral:rRNA from 1 species
AGUUGAUCAUGGCUCAGGAUGAACGCUAGCUACAGGCUUAACACAUGCAAGUCGAGGGGCAGCAUGACGAUAGCUUGCUAUUGUCGAUGGCGACCGGCGCACGGGUGAGUAACGCGUAUCCAACCUUCCCCAUAGUAGGGCAUAGCCCGUAGAAAUGCGGAUUAAUACCCUAUGUUUUCCGAAGCAGACAUCUAAUUCGGAACAAAGGUUCACCGCUAUGGGAUGGGGAUGCGUCUGAUUAGGUUGUUGGCGGGGUAGCGGCCCACCAAGCCCUCGAUCAGUAGGGGUUCUGAGAGGAAGGUCCCCCACAUUGGAACUGAGACACGGUCCAAACUCCUACGGGAGGCAGCAGUGAGGAAUAUUGGUCAAUGGGUGAGAGCCUGAACCAGCCAAGUAGCGUGCAGGAAGACGGCCCUAUGGGUGUAAACUGCUUUUAUGCGGGGAUAAAGUGGGCUACGUGUAGUCCUUUGCAGGUACCGCAUGAAUAAGGACCGGCUAAUUCCGUGCCAGCAGCGGC